rnacentral:lncRNA from 1 species
CUUUUGCUCAUCCUCACAAUUGUCCAAUGUAUCUAUGCCAAGCUGAUAGAUAAAUUGAGUAACUAAGAAGAAGGAUGAAAAUUUUCUGAAAUAAUAUUCGAUAUACAACUUCCAUACUUGGCUGGUACAUUAGAAAAUAUAUAGCAAAUGUGUUCUGACCAUUUUCAUCAACUACUACCUACCUGCCAUUGCCAUACUUUUAGACAGAUUAUAUGGCAUUACAUAUGGCUAUACUUUGACAGAUUUUUCAAUACACAAAUACAUUAAAAUAUAUUCCAAACAAGUACUACAAAAUACACUAUCUUUGGACAGCAAAAGUAUCAACUAGCAUUAACAUUCCUCCUUGAGACUUUUGCUGGAAACACCAAGGCAACUCCUCAAUGUUUCGAACCUUCCUUUGGACAAUGCUUUUGUUAAGAUAUCAGCAUAUUGCUCACUUGAAUUGCAAUGCACAAGCUUCAUUUCCAGCCUCUCUUGAGCUUCCCUAAUUGAAUGAUACUUAAUCUUUAUGUGUUUUGUUCUCCCAUGGAAUAUUGGAUUUUUUUACCAUUGCAACCGUUGAUUUGUUGUCACAAUAAAUGACUGUUGCAUCAAAUUGUAUAUGUCCAAGAUCCUUCAACAUUUUCCUUAACCAAAUAGCUUGGUUUGUCGCCUCAGAUGCUGCUAUAUACUAUGCUUCAGCAGUUGAUUGUGCCACAGUCUUCUGCUUCAUCAAAUUCCAGCACACGAUGUUUGAACCAACAUAAAACACAUAGCUUGAGGUACUCUUCAUGUCAUCUGCUGAACUUGCCCAGUCACUAUCUGUAUAACCAGUUAAAACCAAGUCCUCUGAUCUCUUGAACCAAAUCCCCAGAUUCUCACUUCCUUUUAUGUACUUAAGGACUCUUUUUGCCACUUGAAAAUGUAAUUCACUUGGCUCUUGUCUGAAUCUGGACAGCACAUUUGCAGCAUAGGUUAUAUCUGGUCUUGUUGUUGUAAGAUAUAGCAAGCAACCGGUUAGACUUCUAUAGAUCUUUUCAUCCACUCUCUUAGUACCAUUUUCCUUCAUUAACUUUAGAUUUUGUACUAAUGGAGUGCUAACCGAUUUGCAAUUUUCCAUAUGGAACUUCUUCAACACUUCCCUGACAUAUCUCUUUUGGCAAAUAAAGAUACCUUCCUUAGUUUGUUCAAUUUCCAUUCCAAGAAAAUAUUGCAUCUCACCAAGAUAUGUCAUUUCAAAACCUUUCUUCAAUUCCUCCUUCACUUCUUCAAUUAAGGUGCAAUUGCUACCGGUUAUUAGCAAAUCAUCAACAUAUAAGGAUAUGAUGAUCAUUCCUUCUUCCACAUAUUUUAUGUAAAGUGUUUGCUCAUUUACACUUUUAACAAAUCCCAAGCAGCACAAGUGAUCAUCAAUGCGGCUGUACCAAGCCCUUGGAGCUUGUUUUAAACUAUACAAAGCCUUUUUUAAUAGAUACACUUUGUCUUCCUCACCUGCCACUGCAAAGCCUUCCGGUUGUUCAAUGUAG